CUCUUGCUGCUUCUGUAGUCCUAUGAGAAAAACCUCUCUAGAUGUUAAGGAAUCUGGAGCUGCUGCUAUAAGUGGAGAAUCAGUGGGCAAACCUGGCAGUUUUAUUAGCUAUGGAGACAAGAGGGGACAUUUUAUAAAAAAAUGCAGGUCAAAAAAGGGCACUGGAUCUCAUUUAAUUUAGCACUUCAUUAAUUCUAUUUCUGAUGCAUCUGACCUGGAAUACUUUCUAUUUUUGCUUGUAAAUCCCUGUGUUCAAUGCCUUUCAUAUGGUCCCACACACUGCUGGCAUGUAAUAUUAACUCACCCAAGAGCUACAGACUGUAUGACUGGAAAUGUUAAUGGCACUGUGCAAUGCAUAUUUCAUCUGAUAAUUCCACCCAAGCAGAGAUAAAUUACACAUGCAGUUACCAGCUUCCAUCUGCUGAUGAAAGAGAUGGGCUAAUGCACAUUUGAAAUCAUGCGCAGUUUCCAGCAUGAACAACUCGUGUGAAUAGUUAUUCACAGAAGCAAUUCUUACUGUGAUUAAUUACUGAAGGUAUCAGGGCCUUCGUUGUGCAAGUGAAAACUGUCAUAGAGCAGAGUUUGCAGGUCCUGGAGGCAGACUUUGUCCAUGAAGUGCACCUUCCCCAUGAACACUGACAGAAGGAACAGCCCUGAGGGAGCUGCAGGAACCAGGACCCUCCCGGAACCCGGGGCAGAGGCUCGCCGUGCUUCUGGAGCAGGAGAAUCCCUGCUGGAAGUACUUUGUGCAAUCAAAGGACGAUGUCACAGGUCUGGUAAUGGCCUGUUUCUUCCUGCAGCUGUACAUUCCUCAGCCAGCCCAGGCUGCUGUCCUGCCCUGCUCCCAGUGACACGCAGCCCUGGCACUAUGGGCACAGGAACCUCUGCUCAGCUCUGCUCCCCUGCAGGAGGCUCUGUGGGAUCCCUGCCACUGCAGCAGGACCUUGGUUGGACCAGGACCCCGACCCCACCAUGCCAAGAGGCCUCUCCCCAUCCCACUGCAGCCUGAUGCUGACUGAGUGCCAUGCUAGGAAUUCAUCCCAUGGUAAACCCAAGUAUUUCAGGUUCAGGAAUGUUAUUACUAUCAAAUCAAACUGGCCCAAAUGGCAUGGGGACAGGGUGUUAUCUCAACUUCUGUUUGAAUUAUUGAUGCUUGGAGGGCUGCUGCUUGGGAAUGAAGCCACCACCACCCCAUGCGCUUUCCUCUCAGCAAAUGCAGAUUACUGGUGCUUUGGAUCUGACAAAUGAGCCCUGUCAGUUCCCAUACCCUUUGUGCCACUGGCUGCAGCUCAGCCUUAAGUCCCACCAGAGAGGCUCUGCAUACCCUGCUGCACACCUCUGCCAGGAGGACACCCACACAGGUCACCCUGAGCCCCGCAGCCUCUGUCUGGAAGCCACUGUCUCCUGCCCUUCUCUUUGCUCCUCCUGGAAAGCCAGCACCACUGCAAUCCUCCGUGGGGCCACGGGGCCAUGGCCGGUCUGAAUGGGGCUGGGCAUAGUCUGGGGCUGUGCACAGUAGCUGGGCAACACGCACACAAAGCCCGGCAGGAAGCGGCGCGGCCCAGAGCGCACCUCCUGCCCACUGGAAAAAUAAGAAUUUAUGGUCCUUGGAAACAUAAAACUGCCCAGGGGAAAGCAGAAACCGAGCAGGGAGUACAAUAGGCAAGGAGAAUGCUGGCAAAGUACCCAAAGUCCUUUUUUUCUCAUUUAAAUGAGCUCUUUCCCCCCAGCCUGCACUCUGCAGGCACUGCAGGCCGUCCCUGGUGUGACCUGGGGCCAGGCAGGGAGCGCGGUAGCAGUGCUGACAUCCCUGACCACGGGCUGGGCUGCAGACUUGUGCUUUGAUCAGUGCUGGCAAGGAGAACCCUGUGGCUUGGGCCAGCCCUGCGUGACUGAUCCAUGUGGCUGCUACACGCUGCCUGGAGCCACUGCGCCCUGCCUGGCAGUUCUGCUUAGGUGCAGGAGCUGGAGACAACUUGUCAAAUAUCUAUGAUGAAAGGAUGAUUUAUAGGAAAAGCCAGUCUAUGACUCAAUGUUUCCUCGGUACACCUCAUCCGAGGUAUGUGAAAGCUUUUCGUGGCCCUGGCUUAGCCCAGCAGGCAGGCAGUGGCCAAGAUGGGAGCUGGGAGCAGAGAUACAGGCACAUUUUUAGAGGGGCAGGGGAUGGACUCCAGGAUGAUGGGCUCCAGCACUUGGAUCUAGCUGGAGGCCAGCCCUCCUCAGCCCCUCCCCACACCCACUCAUUGCUGGGGCUCUUGGCGAGCAGUGAUACAUCUCCGGCUCUUCUCACUUUGUCAACUUCACAGUGACACAAGUGUCCACAGGCACAGGUUUACAUUAAUCUGGAGAAGUUAAGGAAGCUAACAACUGCUCUGCAGCUUUCUGCCCUGACUACAGGUCACCUCAUUGGCCAUUAGACUUCUUGUUUCCACCUGGACAACACACACCAGUACCAGGAUCCUGAGGGCAAUAGCAGGCCUUAAUGGUCCUGACCAGCCCCACCUGGAGCUUCUAUUCACACCCAUACACAGGGUAUGUGGGAUCCAUUUAAGCUCAGCUCUGGGCCUUUAGCUUUCUCCGGAGCUCCAGCGUGGGUAUGUUGGUCUCCAGGUGAGCUGUGGCCAGGCCUGGCUAUGGACCUGCUGAUCCUGACUUCCCAGUGUGGCUUCAGCAGGCUGAAAUAUGCUGCAGAUUGGGAAGGGGUGAGGGAUGAAAUUGCAAAAACCCUACUUAAGCUAGCAAAGUAUUUGCAUUUGUGGAGUUUCCAGUUUGGCACUGUCAGUGCUAUAUGGGUGGGUUUAUGUUGCAGCUCUCUGCAGCCAUGUGCAUCCAAAGCUAUAGGCCAGCAGCAGGGCACUGCAGCUGUGUGUAGUUGGUUCCUGGCUUAGUUUGUAAAUGCAGCUCCUAAAGUACCUCUUGAAAGUUGCCUGUAUUUGGGAAAGGGUAUGUGAACUUGGCCUGAAUGCUCUUAAUUCUGGCUUUGGCUAUGUUUCAGCUCUCUGCGGGGAUUUAGGCAUUUUCUGUCUCUUUUCAUGAUACUUCUUAGGGGACCAAGGUUUCUGGAAGAAGCACCACCAGGAAUGCUGGGCAUGCCUGGCCUGGCUCCCUUGUGCUAACUCCUAUUUUGGCUUAGGAGACAAUCUCUGAGGUUGUUCAUGUGCGUGAAAACACAAGAGUGCUUGGGGUCUAGCAAUAAACCAUCUCUAGGGUGCUGUACCACAUGCCACCCUUCUGCCAAUGUUUUGGAAGCUGCAGAGAAGCAGUCUGUGGGAUCAGGCUUUCUGGAUGCUCUUUCCCAACAACAGCUUUCAGGCAAAGGAAGUGCUGUGUCAUUGCUUCAGCUCGGGCAGCUUGUACAGCCUCUGCAUCCCCUCACAGAUGCCAUCAUCCCAGGAUUCUGUCCCUCACCCUGGUGGAGUGAGGGUCCAUGGAGAAAUUGAGACAUAAAUUCUGAGCCAUAGCUUCUCCCUAGGACGGGGCAGAUGUUACCUGGAGUCGCAGCAUGGGAAACUGAGGCAGGAUGAUUCAUCAGGAGUUCACCUGGCAAGUCAAGGCAGAGCAGAGAGCUGAAAUUGGGAGUUUCCAGCACCUGCUCAUGCGCUACCCAUCUGCAAAGGGGCUGGCAGCUGGAGGGAGAGCUGUGUGACAGUCAGACUCAUCUGCUGGCAGUGAUUUGCAUUGGUGAAUGCCACAACAGCCCUGCAAUACACCUGUACCCUGGUGUGAGCCCCUGGUGCCUGCAGUGCACAAAUGUUUCUGUUACUGUGCCAUGCUGUCCUUCAGCAGCUGAUCAGAGCAUCAGCUCUUCCCUGUCUUAAGCUUGAGUGAUUAAUUAGUUUCAGUAAUGAAGUAGUGUCUUAGGACUCUACCCCCAAGGACUCUCAUGUACCAAGCACUGAGUGUACAUGAACAUGGCUCUUAUCCCAAAGCUGCUGAGCUACUACAGACAAAAAGUGCUAAUUUCAUCAGAAGCAGGUCAUGUUCACCUGAAAUAACCCUUAGAAGUGAAAUUGCAAUUAUACACUGAGACACCUUCAAGUAAUUCUGUAUUUCCUUAUCAACAACAAUGUUGAGACCCUGGCAAAAAAGGCCUCCUGUUCUCUUACAUGCACUGUUUCCUAUCCUAGUUGCUCUCUAAUCUGGUGCACAGGACAAGAGGCAAUUUAGAGACUGAAUUCUGCCCAGGCAAAGGCAGCUGGAGGGGAUGGGCUGAGAGAGCUGCACUGUGAGCUAUAAUGGAGAGGAAGCGUCCAUGCUCCUGAGGCUCAAUGCAAGGCAGGUGUCACAUAGGGAAGGCAGAGAACAGAAGGCCUGUGUGCUCCAAGUGAUUAGUAAGUCAGCCCCUUGCUCCCAGAAGGGCCAGGUAGCCAUCCUUACAGCCUCUAUGACUUCUGCAUGCUGGGGAGAGAUGACAUGCUGCUUGUGUCUGUCUGGCAUAUUCUUAUCCAAGGGAGGAGGAGGAACCUAAUUUACUGUUGAGAAAAUCUGGAGAAGCUACAUCUGCUUGGCCAACACCCUCUUUUGGCAAAUACUGCAGGGAGGGACCAUCUCCUGCUUCUAAUGUGCUAUCAUGCACUAUGUGCAUUUUGGGUGCUGUCAUCCUGCCCUGUCUCGUGGUUUCUGCUAGCCCACUGCUAGAGGAAUUAGCAUUUUCUUUGCAUAUCUGCAGCAGAUGUAGGAAGCUGGACUUGGCAUCUCUAGCUUUGAGCAAGGAGAAUUCAAGCUAGAAUGAGGACCUGACCUCCAUUUGCGUUCAGAAAAAGCACUUGAUUACAAACUAGACCAGAAUUAGAAUGUGAGGGAUGCUGAGCUGCUUAAUGUGCUGCUUGGUGCAGACCAGGUUUCAUGCCUCAUUUGCUAGGUGCAAUCAGGCUUCGUUCUCUUUCACUGCAAAAAGCCCUUUGCUAGCUUAAGCCCGGGUGCAGAUGAACUGUUCCAUUUCUCAAUGCCAGCUACUUUCAUGAACAGCCUUGCCAUGUCCUGGUCUGAGAGUCAGGGACUGAAAUAAUCUGCUUUAUUCCCACACAAGGAGCCUUUCCUGUGUGGCUGUUAAUACUAUCAAUCUCCAACAGUUCCACUUGAGGAAACACUUCUCACAGAAAGCCCAGAGCUGCGAGCCUCCAAGCACUGCACAAGUCUGCAUCUGUGAGCACCAGCAGUGCAGCAGCUCCACCCAGAACAGCCCAUUGAGCUUGGAGGCUGCCAGCUGCUGCAGGGCCACAGAGGCCAUGCCUGCAAGGUCUGUUUGCAAAGGCAGCGAGCAGUGCUCCCAGCUGAGCAGCCUGCCUCCUUAGAAAAACCACAGCCAGGGCUGCUGCCGAGAUGUGGGUUGUCAGGGAUUUUCUGGAGCACGCCAUUCCAGUUGACUUGAGAAGGAUUUAAAAUUGCCAACAGACUGUAGUGAACCUUCUCUGGGAAGAGAAGAUCUCUGAUUUCUUAAUAUGUCCACAAAAUCAUAUUCUUCCAUUUGGAAACAAGACUCUUACUAGAUGAGAGGAAAAAUUCAAUGCUAAUUGUGUCAUUUCCCAAACUCAAGAAUAUUAAGCUGCUCAAGGACUCUUUUAGCCUCAAGGGAGCUAAUGAGGUUAGUGAAUCACGAUGAGAAACACAGCACUAGUUCAGAUAGUUUCUGCUGCACUUGGGCAAAGUAGGCAGCGCUUAGGGCAGCACAUGGAAGAGGCUGGACCUGGCAGCAUUCCCUGCUCCCAGCUUCACCUGCCCUGGGCUUGAACACAGGGAAGCAGAAGAACAGGAGAUCAGCAUUACCUCAGGCAAAAACGUGGAAAGAAUCCAAUGUUUCAGGUCUGGAGGUUUAGGCCUCAUAAUCAUUAACUGCAGGAAGCUGCAGCAGGACCAAAGCAGCCAUGGUGCCCUGGGGUCUCUGAACCUCAGUGCUUUGUGUUCUGCAGCAGGUACAGGACAGAGCUGCCCUAUUCAAAGCAAAUGCCCCGAUGCCAUGUUUCCUGCUCACUGCACGGGAGAGGGCAGGUGUGUUUAUGGAGUCUCUCUGAUCCCUCAGGAAUGGCUGUGUGAAAGCCCUUAAAGGAUUUAGCAGUGACAGAAGGCUGGAGGAAGGGGGAAGUGAUUCAGGUGUCCUGAAAACUGUCUGGCAGUUGCCAGUUAGUCUAAAUAACCCAUCUGGCCCAUGGAAACACCAUUUAGAGAAUGUCUUCCUGCUCCCUCAUCAAAGUAUCCCACCCCCCAGGGAUUCAUUCGAGAUUUUUAUUCUAUAGAUCUCUCAUUCAGUUAUUUGGUGAAAACAUGAAGUAGCUUGUCACAGUAUUGUGUUAAGCAGCACAGAUUCUGUUUGCCUUCAGGAUGCAUUUAGCAUAGAGCUAAAGCAGAAUGAAGGAAACAAACACAUAACCAAUCAAGCUCUUGUUAGCAAAUCUUAUUCUGCUAGGCUUAGUUUUGCUUUGCAUGGUGCCUCAGGACAGAGAUCCAUACAGUACAGGGUGCUUUUACACUAGACAAGAAUCAGGACAGCAUCUAUAAAUGAGCAUCUAUAAGUGCACCCAUCCUUGUGGCAUUAGGUACAGCCAUUCUCUCCCACAGACACUCAACCUUAGAACCAGAAAGGCUGACAAUAUACACCCAUAAAUGCAUGAGUAGAGCCUCCCUGCCCUCCCAGCACCAUGGAGGCACUCCAUGCCAUGCUCAGCCCCAGUCUGUGUGCCCUUGCCCGCACAGCUGUCACUCAGAUCAGGGCUCCUCCUCAUUAACAAGCUAAUCCAAUCUGCUUGCUACCUCUCUGGUUGCCAUCUCAAUUACAAUUUUUCAGACACCAAUAACGAAGGAGCUUUGAGCUAAUGCUGACUGCACUACACCAGAAUGUAAUUUGAAAGCCAUUACAUUUCAUCUCUGUAACACUCUACAACCAGUAAUACAGUUGCUGAAAAAGCGACUUUAUUUCAAGCCAGAUAAAGGCUUUGCAGAGAUCUCAUAUGCUGAUAUUUUUGCUGGUGAAUUCAAAAGCUUUUGUGAAAUAACGAUAAUAGAGCCACUUUAUUUUACACUUAAAAGAUACCUGCCUCAAUGCCAAGAUCUAGCAUCAGACAGUCUUGUUCUGUUUAGUGCUAACAUUUUAAUUUAGCUUUUCUCUAACUGCUGAUUUCAUUAGCCUUCAACUAAGCACCAACCCAUCAUGACUCGUAUGCAAAACAACAUGAAUGUGCCUCGCUCGUCCCACCCCUCAUGGAGGAAGGAGCCAUCCAAGUUUCUGCACUCUCAAAAAGGCACUCAGAGGUGACUUGCCUGGAGAUGGCACAUUUCACUGACUGAUCCCCCCACCCAUAUCAGUCAUAUUGGUGUGCUCUCUGAGCAGAGUAUGGGAGCUGAAGCAGUGACAACCAUCAGUCCCUGCUGGAAAACCGGGUCAUGAUGCAAGGCCAGAGAAAGAGCUCUGAGAUGUCCUCCAUUCCAUCAGCACAGUCACAGCUAACCCUGUCCAACAGCUCAGCAAUGGCAGAAAACAACUAAUUGCUGUCCUGUGGCAAGAAGGCCAGAGACGGGGUGGGUUGCAGACAAGCAGGAGCUGAGCUCUCUCCAAAAGGAGUUCGUUCCUCUCCUCUCACAAGUGGAGCACAGCCACCACCGCGCUGCUUAGGAACAGUGUGCGUGCUGCCAUGGCAAAAGCAGCUCAGCAGGAGCUUCUUCCCUUUGUGCUGUGGCAGUGCAAGCAGCAGAAAUCAGAACAAGCUCAGGCUAGGCCAUGAUGUGGCAGACUGAAUUCCUCCAGGAAAGCAGCUGCUACAUUUUUAAAGCCAGUGCUUCAGCUUAUGAAAAUUAGAUGUUCCAUACAGCUAGUAAAGCGGCAUAUAUAUGAGAUGUGCUUGAGUCUGUCAAGGUGAUCAUGGGCUGGAGACUACACAGAGAGAUGCUGAGCUCCACAGACCCUCAUGACACUGCUGGGCCUCUGCUGCCCUGCUGGUGAGGCUGGGCAGCCAUGAAAGCCCCUGCGUUCCCUGGGGCUCCCUCAGAGCCCACUCUAUGCUCCAGGCUCUGCUCAAGCUGCACCAAAUAGAGGAAAACAAACUAAUGAAGCAUUAGGGUUAAACUCAGCUGCAAUUAAUGCUUAAUUACCACCCUGAAAACACUUGCUCUAUUUUGCCAGGGCCUAGAAAGGUAAAACCAAUUAGCUUAAUCUUGUGUGAUAGAAACCUUAAACUGCCUCUGAUGACUUCUGGGAAGGAAUCCUGGGAGUACCUGGAGGAGCCCUGGGGCUGAGGUAGGUAAUGGGCACAGCCCUGUGCUGGGCACUGGGUGUAUGGGAAGGUGCUGUGUGCUAUGCCAUCUGCUUUCUAUGCCAUUUAAGUAGAGCAGGUAUCAGGUAGUGGUACAGACAAAGCUGUGUGGGCUGUUGCAUAGAGAGACAGAGGUUCAUGAAGAUACAGAGAGUAGGCAGAGGACAAAAGCUGUCUGUGGUCUCCUGUAAAUCUCUUUCUGAAUGAAGUCUCUGGUGUUAUUUCUCCAGCUAAGUUUUUGGUGUAGACUUGCAGCCUCUGGUGAGGACUGGCUAUAGCCUGAUCACAUCCUGCCUCUGCUUUGGAGAACUGCCAAAACUCACGCCAGGCUUUGUGCAAAAGUAAUGAGAGCAGGUUUGUACGAGUCGCAUCUGUUCAGCUAGGACACCUAAAACUGCUGCUCUCCUUCUCUGAAGGCUAUGGGCUUCAUCUGCUUUGGAUGCAGUCCUUGCAGGGUUCUCUAAAGAAGGGAAAGGUAUUCUAGCAAAAGAUCUCUUGGAGCAUACUUUGGUGUAGAGUAUGCUGUCCUUUUUUUUUUUUUUUUUUAUGGGGAGGAGGAGGAAGAGAAGUGCAUGGGCUUAAGGGAAGCCUAUCUGAAGUACUCUUCUCAUCUUUCUGUAAGGCCAGAUGCCUGCCUUUACAUUUGUCAAUGUGUUGAUUGGACCCAUGGUCAGAGCAUGGCACCAUCUUCUACAGUACAGUUCAUCAGUGAAUAUCUCUGUGUGAUGACAAUAUUUAUGUAAAGGCCUUGUGUGAACUGAGGUGGCCCUGCUCUCCUGACAGGUCUCUUGAAGCACCUACUGCAUGGGACUUGGCUACCAACCUAAGUAUGGAGCUCUUCCCUCAGCCACAGCAUCAGCUGUGUCCUUAGCUGGCUUAGGCUGUGAUGCCUGUUUGGAGCAAACAAUGAGAUGCUUGUGUUUUACACUCUUAAGAGUGUAAGAACUAUCACCCAUUUUUUCUGCAUACUCUUGUAAGGAGUAUGUAAAGAAGGGUGUAUGGCAUUGUGAGAAUUAAUGGCCAGCUUGAAGACUGCUGAAAUAAUUUAAGACAUUGGCAUUGUUUUCUUUCACGGCCCAGGGCUGUCAUUAGCUGAGCACUUGGAUGCUCUUCCAAAGAGGCUGAAAAGAAAAGCCCUCCAGGAACUGCAGCAGAGAAUGACUCCCAUCCAAAACCAACAGAUCCUGGCAAGCAGCUACAUAGGUCUAUAGCAGGGCAAACAUUCCACCACUGCACUGGGGAACUUUUACAUGUGAGCCUGUGCUUCAGCUGCAGUAAAGCCAACCAUUUAAUUAUAGUGGGAGAGGCUGCAGGGAUUAACCAAGAAAGCUGACCACUAUGAGUUCAGCUUCUCUUUUUUUUUUUUUGAAGCUCAGCUUUGAACACA